rnacentral:rRNA from 1 species
CAGGCUUAACACAUGCAAGUCGAACGCCCCGCAAGGGGAGUGGCAGACGGGUGAGUAACGCGUGGGAAUCUACCCAAUUCUUCGGAACAACUGAGGGAAACUUCAGCUAAUACCGGAUGUGCCCUUCGGGGGAAAGAUUUAUCGGAAUUGGAUGAGCCCGCGUUGGAUUAGCUAGUUGGUGGGGUAAAGGCCUACCAAGGCGACGAUCCAUAGCUGGUCUGAGAGGAUGAUCAGCCACACUGGGACUGAGACACGGCCCAGACUCCUACGGGAGGCAGCAGUGGGGAAUAUUGGACAAUGGGCGCAAGCCUGAUCCAGCCAUGCCGCGUGAGUGAUGAAGGUCUUAGGAUUGUAAAGCUCUUUCACCGGUGAAGAUAAUGACGGUAACCGG